CCUACGGGUGGCAGCAGUGGGGAAUAUUGCACAAUGGGGGAAACCCUGAUGCAGCGACGCCGCGUGAAGGAAGAAGUAUUUCGGUAUGUAAACUUCUAUCAGCAGGGAAGAAAAUGACGGUACCUGACUAAGAAGCCCCGGCUAACUACGUGCCAGCAGCCGCGGUAAGACGUAGGGGGCAAGCGUUAUCCGGAUUUACUGGGUGUAAAGGGAGCGUAGGCGGUUUAGCAAGUCAGAAGUGAAAGGCGGGGGCUCAACCCCCGGACUGCUCUGGAAACUGUACGGCUGGAGUGCAGGAGAGGUAAGUGGAAUUCCUAGUGUAGCGGGGAAAUGCGUAGAUAUUAGGAGGAACACCAGUGGCGAAGGCGGCUUACUGGACUGUAACUGACGUUGAGGCUCGAAAGCGUGGGGAGCAAACAGGAUUAGAUACCCGGGUAGU
rnacentral:rRNA from 1 species